GGGGCCGUAGCUCAGUGGUAGAGCGUCUCAUUUGCAUUGAGAAAGUCUAGGGUUCAAUCCCCUACUGCUCCA
rnacentral:tRNA from 1 species